CAGAGUGUGACUGUAGAUGAAGGAGAGACGGUACGGUUGCCCUGCCUGGUGCGUGGCGAACAACUCAACCCAAUUCGUGUAUGGACUUGCAACGGGGAUCCAGUGCAAGACAACCAAGGCACGGCAAUCUUGGCGAACGGAAGUUUGUAUAUUUCUUCUGCACGACAACGCCACAGUGGAAGUUACGACUGCACUUUGCCUUCUGCUGCUUCAGGCAAAAGCGUUACGUACACGCUGAAAGUUUUAGGUGUUCCAUCUACGCCGAGGUUGCAGGUGAUCAGGACGACCAAUACCAGCGCGUUGCUGCACUGGAC